AGAGUUUGAUCCUGGCUCAGGAUCAACGCUGGCGGCGUGCCUAAUGCAUGCAAGUCGAACGGGGACCUCUUCGGAGGUCUUACGUGGCGGACGGGUGAGGAACACGUGGGCAACCUGCCCAGCGGUGGGGGCUAGCCCUCGGAAACGAGGGGUAAUUCCGCAUGGGGUCUUCUGUCGAGUAGGGCGGGAGAUCAAAAGGCGAAAGCCGCCGUUGGAGGGGCCUGCGUCCGAUUAGCUAGACGGUGGGGUAACGGCCUACCGUGGCGAUGAUCGGUAGCUGGUUUGAGAGGAUGAUCAGCCACACGGGGACUGAGACACGGCCCCGACUCCUACGGGAGGCAGCAGCAAGGAAUUUUCCGCAAUGGGCGAAAGCCUGACGGAGCAACGCCGCGUGCGGGAUGACGCGUUUCGGCGUGUAAACCGCUGUUCAUGGGGACGAAGCACUGACGGUACCCAUGGAGGAAGGCCCGGCUAACUACGUGCCAGCAGCCGCGGUAAUACGUAGGGGUCGAGCGUUGUCCGGAGUUACUGGGCGUAAAGCGCGCGCAGGUGGCUCAUUACGCCCGGCGUGAAAGCCCCCGGCUCAACCGGGGAGGGUCGUCGGGUACGGGUGAGCUUGAGGGUAUCAGGGGCUGGUGGAAUUCCCGGUGUAGUGGUGAAAUGCGUAGAGAUCGGGAGGAACACCCGUGGCGAAGGCGGCCAGCUGGGAUACACCUGACACUGAGGCGCGAAGGCGUGGGGAGCGAACGGGAUUAGAUACCCUAGUAGUCC
rnacentral:rRNA from 1 species